GAUGAACGCUGGCGGCGUGCCCAAUACAUGCAAGUCGAGCGAACGGACGAGAAGCUUGCUUCUCUGAUGUUAGCGGCGGACGGGUGAGUAACACGUGGAUAACCCACCGAUAAGACUGGGAUAACUUCGGGAAACCGGAGCUAAUACCGGAUAAUAUUUUGAACCGCAUGGUUCAAAAGUGAAAGACGGUCUUGCUGUCACUUAUAGAUGGAUCCGCGCUGCAUUAGCUAGUUGGUAAGGUAACGGCUUACCAAGGCAACGAUGCAUAGCCGACCUGAGAGGGUGAUCGGCCACACUGGAACUGAGACACGGUCCAGACUCCUACGGGAGGCAGCAGUAGGGAAUCUUCCGCAAUGGGCGAAAGCCUGACGGAGCAACGCCGCGUGAGUGAUGAAGGUCUUCGGAUCGUAAAACUCUGUUAUUAGGGAAGAACAUAUGUGUAAGUAACUGUGCACAUCUUGACGGUACCUAAUCAGAAAGCCACGGCUAACUACGUGCCAGCAGCCGCGGUAAUACGUAGGUGGCAAGCGUUAUCCGGAAUUAUUGGGCGUAAAGCGCGCGUAGGCGGUUUUUUAAGUCUGAUGUGAAAGCCCACGGCUCAACCGUGGAGGGUCAUUGGAAACUGGAAAACUUGAGUGCAGAAGAGGAAAGUGGAAUUCCAUGUGUAGCGGUGAAAUGCGCAGAGAUAUGGAGGAACACCAGUGGCGAAGGCGACUUUCUGGUCUGUAACUGACGCUGAUGUGCGAAAGCGUGGGGAUCAAACAGGAUUAGAUACCCUGGUAGUCCACGCCGUAAACGAUGAGUGCUAAGUGUUAGGGGGUUUCCGCCCCUUAGUGCUGCAGCUAACGCAUUAAGCACUCCGCCUGGGGAGUACGACCGCAAGGUUGAAACUCAAAGGAAUUGACGGGGACCCGCACAAGCGGUGGAGCAUGUGGUUUAAUUCGAAGCAACGCGAAGAACCUUACCAAAUCUUGACAUCCUUUGACAACUCUAGAGAUAGAGCCUUCCCCUUCGGGGGACAAAGUGACAGGUGGUGCAUGGUUGUCGUCAGCUCGUGUCGUGAGAUGUUGGGUUAAGUCCCGCAACGAGCGCAACCCUUAAGCUUAGUUGCCAUCAUUAAGUUGGGCACUCUAAGUUGACUGCCGGUGACAAACCGGAGGAAGGUGGGGAUGACGUCAAAUCAUCAUGCCCCUUAUGAUUUGGGCUACACACGUGCUACAAUGGACAAUACAAAGGGCAGCGAAACCGCGAGGUCAAGCAAAUCCCAUAAAGUUGUUCUCAGUUCGGAUUGUAGUCUGCAACUCGACUACAUGAAGCUGGAAUCGCUAGUAAUCGUAGAUCAGCAUGCUACGGUGAAUACGUUCCCGGGUCU
rnacentral:rRNA from 1 species